rnacentral:misc_RNA from 1 species
CCCCGGCGUCCGACGAAGCGUCCGAGGUUGAAGUGGCCUGUACGGACAUGUGGAAACUCCAGGAUCCAAAUCCGAUUCACCAUUCCCGAUUUUCCAAUUCGAGAUCCAAAGUGUCGCCAAAACGGAAAAUAAUGGACGAACCUGUGAAUAUAGUUAAGCAGCAACAAUUUCAGCUACAGUUACCGAAGAACGAUCUGGAUCUUCGGUUGAUGCAGAUCUUCUCCCCAAAAACAUCGCCGUGUAAACCGGAAAACCUGAGGCUGGGCAGUCCGUCUAUGAAUUCAGAGGAGUCGGUGACGACGACGAUAACGUGUU